GCGAACGCUGGCGGCGUGCUUAACACAUGCAAGUCGAGUGCGCGUUUCGUAGCAAUACGGGAUGGCGCACGGCGCACGGGUGAGGAACACGUGGGCAACAUGCCCUCUGAUGGGGAAUAACCCCGCGAAAGCGGGGCUAAUACCGCAUAAGAUUCCGGGGACCUCGGUCCCUGGACUGAAAGCCCGCAAGGGCGUCGGAGGAGUGGCCCGCGGCCGAUUAGCUUGUUGGCGGGGAACGGCCCACCAAGGCAAUGAUCGGUAGCCGGUCUGAGAGGAUGAUCGGCCACACUGGAACUGAGACAC
rnacentral:rRNA from 1 species